rnacentral:rRNA from 1 species
AUUGAACGCUGGCGGCAGGCCUAACACAUGCAAGUCGAGCGGUUGAAGUUAGCUUGCUCCUGGAUUCAGCGGCGGACGGGUGAGUAAUUCCUAGGAAUCUGCCUGGUAGUGGGGGAUAACGUCCGGAAACGGGCGCUAAUACCGCAUACGUCCUGAGGGAGAAAGUGGGGGAUCUUCUUACCUCACUCUAUCAGCUGCGCCUAGGUCUGAUUAGCUAGUUGGUUGGGUAAAGGCCUACCAAGGCGACGAUCCGUAACUGGUCUGAGAGGAUGAUCAGUCAAAUUGGAACUGAGAAACGGUCCAGACUCCUACGGGAGGCAGAAGUGGGGAAUAUUGGACAAUGGGCGAAAGCCUGAUGAAGACAUGCCGGGGGUGGGAAGAAGGUCUUCGGAUUGUAAAGCACUUUAAGAGGGGAGGAAGGGCAGUAAGUUAAAAACUUGAUGAUUUGACGUUACCAACAGAGUAAGCAACGGCUAACUUCGUG